rnacentral:miRNA from 1 species
UCUUUGGUUGCGUAGCUUAUUG